GGCCCGAGGCCGGGCAGGCGGCGGGGCGCGGGGCCCGCUCGGCUGCCGGGUCCUUCCCGGCUCCGCGGGCGACCGCGGUGCUCGUGGACCCGCUCCGAAGCCGCCGCAGAAUUUGUGCUGCGACUUUCUGCGUCAGAAUACGGUGUUUUUCUGAGGCAAAACGCGGUAACGGCCCGCCUCGAAACGCCGCUUCCGAAACGGCGUCGUUUCUAGCGGGCGUUUACAUCAGCCCAGCCCAACCGUUACCGCCUGAUUGCUCGCGGGGUUUCCGAACAGGAACAGGCCUUUGGAGGGACUUGAAGGAAGACUGUCGUGUUUCCCGCAGCUAUAUGUCAUGCUCGCAGCUAUUCACCGUGUCUUUCUGCUUUCUCAUAUUUUGCAGAUUUAAGAAGUAUUUAUUUUGGGUCAGUACGAUGUACAGCACAAUGGAAUCCUAAUGCCACCCUAAACGUGAAUAAUAUAAAUAAAUAGCAAGUUAUUUAAAAUAUUUUGCUUGCUUUUCAAUGGAAAAUUAGGAAAUGAUGAACAAAUUUUCUCUUGGCAAAAUUCAGUUGUCUGUCCCAGCCAGAACUUUAUAAUAACUGGGAAUAUCUUUCUGGGUUUUAUUUCUUCCUUAUACUAAGUGCAGGUGGUGCACAUCGUAUCACGAAGCUGUGCGUAACAACACACCAGGACGAGAAGUAUAAAACUGGAAUAGGACACACACUGCACCUACGCAGCAUUUCCAGUGGGGAUUUUCCCCGGCUAUGCCUGAAGAGAGGGAUAUGCAGCAGCUUGGGCUAAGCAGAAAGGAGAAGGUCGCAAGGUCUCGGCAUCCUGUGACUGGCGAGUGGUUACUUCUGCAGCUAGACGAGAUGGAAGCAUUUCACAACCAUUAUCUUUAAAUAUUCACAAAUUCAACAUAGAGGAUUAGCAGCAGAAGGAAGUGUUUGCUCAGUACUCCGAAGCAAAAAAGAUUCUCUGAAGAAAAAAUGAAACUUUCAGCACUUGAAUACACAAGACUGUGUAAACAUUCACCAUUGACAGAUGAAGAUUCAAGGAAAUGCAUCCCCUUCAAAUUGGAAAGAACUGUAGAAAGAUAUCUGUGCUUGAGUCCUGCCAUGCAUGAACUCAACCCAGCCUUUAGAGUGCUUCAGAUCAAUCUAAGUGAAAUGCAAAUAUUGCUGGCCAUCAGUCUUCACUGUCAUUUUGAUACACAUAGAAGGAACCACAUGAAACAAAGGUGAUGUGCAUAUGAGCUGUGAAAACCUUCUUGACAAACUGCAUUUAUCCUCCUGAGCUGCCUGAAUUUUUAUCAUCUUACCUUUGUGUCUUGGCUUCAGCUUUGGAAGUUUGGAGAAACUGGGAGGUGCCAUGAUUUUCCCAUGUUUCACGUACAAAAAAGCUCUAUCACAAAUAACUUUCUUAUUGUCAACAGAAUACAAGUGUUGCUUGUAUUGCAAGUGGAACUUGCUCCCCAAUUAAAUUACUUGUUUCUUCAACUUAAACUGGCCUUUACAUGACAUAACAAAAAAACGCAUUAGUUAAGAAGUACAGAAAGUGCAUUGCACAUUGAGAACCUGUAAGAGUGAAGGACAGAGAUUCAGAAUCACACCUAUCAGUCCGGCAUCUCCAGAAAGAUUUCUUUUAAGAAAAAGAAAAUUGAGGGAGUGUUACUGGACUUCUGAAUCUGAUAUCCUUAGUCACCUGCCAAAAUAGUGUCUAAUAGCAGUAUUUAAUUUGGAAAAUAUUGCAGAGAGUAACCAAACAACAAUCUUGAAGAGCAAGUCUUCAUUAUUAUGAAGGUUUUCUACAUAAGGCCACGGUUCCCAAGCUUUUCAUAGCCAAGCUUCCCUUGGGAAAACUGACCACAUUCCAUCUCUGUGCAAUGCUCCGGGCUAGCACAGGUCCGACAUGACUUGUUAGCCUAGGUUUGCUUUUUUGGGUGAAGGAUAUUGAUCAAUAGCAAAAAUGGAAUAGGAAAAGGUAUUGAAACUAUGCUAUCAUGACUACAUUGACUUUUAUUUGUACUUGGUCAAGGUAAAUCUGACACAAAAUGAUUACUGACAAAUGAGAAACCUACAGAUAAAAUAUGGGGAAUUGGAGAAAAAAGGAGAGACAAAAAUAGUAACAAUAUUCUAGAAUAAAGCUUUAUAUUAAUAUAAAUUUUCA
ensembl:lncRNA